GACGAACGCUGGCGGCGUGCUUAACACAUGCAAGUCGAACGGAAAGGCCCUGGUUUUUUGGGGUGCUCGAGUGGCGAACGGGUGAGUAACACGUGAGUAACCUGCCCUUGACUUUGGGAUAACUUCAGGAAACUGGGGCUAAUACCGGAUAGGAUCUCCUGCUGCAUGGUGGGGGUUGGAAAGUUUCGGCGGUUGGGGAUGGACUCGCGGCUCAUCAGCUUGUUGGUGGGGUAGUGGCUUACCAAGGCUUUGACGGGUAGCCGGCCUGAGAGGGUGACCGGCCACAUUGGGACUGAGAUACGGCCCAGACUCCUACGGGAGGCAGCAGUGGGGAAUAUUGCACAAUGGGCGGAAGCCUGAUGCAGCAACGCCGCGUGCGGGUUGACGGCCUUCGGGUUGUAAACCGCUUUCGCCUGUGACGAAGCGUGAGUGACGGUAAUGGGUAAAGAAGCACCGGCUAACUACGUG
rnacentral:rRNA from 1 species